rnacentral:siRNA from 1 species
CUAGAAGCGACGCAUGCGCCCGCCGC